AACGAACGCUGGCGGCAGGCUUAACACAUGCAAGUCGAACGCCCCGCAAGGGGAGUGGCAGACGGGUGAGUAACGCGUGGGAACAUACCCUUUUCUACGGAAUAGCUCUGGGAAACUGGAAUUAAUACCGUAUACGCCCUACGGGGGAAAGAUUUAUCGGGGAAGGAUUGGCCCGCGUUGGAUUAGCUAGUUGGUGGGGUAAAGGCCUACCAAGGCGACGAUCCAUAGCUGGUCUGAGAGGAUGAUCAGCCACAUUGGGACUGAGACACGGCCCAAACUCCUACGGGAGGCAGCAGUGGGGAAUAUUGGACAAUGGGCGCAAGGCUGAAGCAGCCAUGCCGCGUGAGUGAUGAAGGCCGUAGGGUAGUAAAGCUCUUUCACCGAUGAAGAUAAUGACGGUAGUCGGAGAAGAAGCCCCGGCUAACUUCGUG
rnacentral:rRNA from 1 species